GGGGGCGUAUCUGGGUCUCGACAGGAUCAUGUUUGAUUUGAACUGCAGUGGGGCGGCUUCCUAAGAGCCAAAACAAAAAUAACUGGCAACAAUAAGUUUGCUUUUGCCGCUUAAUUCACCAAUAAGCGUGACGCGGCUGGUUCACUUGUCCGGUCUCGGGAUAAGCUGAAUUAUCACAAACAGAGAAUAAGCGUACCCGCAUUCUUCGGUGCGUGUACGUCGAAAACCCUACGAAGGCCCGGUCAUUUACCUCCGUUUGUCAAGGGAUGGCCGGUACAUUGACGAACUAAACUGUAGACGUUCAAAUGUGGAACUUUUCUUGGACAGGGGUUCGAUUCCCCUCGCCUCCACCA
rnacentral:tmRNA from 1 species